CCCCUAGAUGUUCUGGGCCGCACGCGCGCUACACUGAACAGUUCAACAAGUCUUAACCUUGGCCGAUAGGUCUGGGUAAUCUUUGAACGCUGUUCGUGAUUGGGAUAGACCUUUGCAAUUAUGGGUCUUCAACGAGGAAUUCCUAGUAAACGCAAGUCAUCAGCUUGCAUUGAUUACGUCCCUGCCCUUUGUACACACCGCCCGUCGCACCUACCGAUUGAAUGGUCCGGUGAGAUCCUCGGACUGCGAUGACGCUCUGGCAACAGAGUUAAUUGCGGAAAGUUGAUCAAACCUUACCAUUUAGAGGAAGGUGAAGUCGUAACA
rnacentral:rRNA from 1 species